rnacentral:rRNA from 1 species
GAUCCGGCUCAGGAUGAACGCUAGCUACAGGCUUAACACAUGCAAGUCGAGGGGCAGCAUGGACCCAGCUUUGCUGGGUUUGAUGGCGACCGGCGCACGGGUGAGUAACGCGUAUCCAACCUGCCCUUUACUCCGGGAUAGUCUCCUGAAAGGGAGUUUAAUACCGGAUGUGUUUGUCUUUCCGCAUGGGAGCGACAAAUAAAGAUUAAUUGGUAAAGGAUGGUGAUGCGUCCCAUUAGCUUGUUGGG